CUUUGGAAAACAAAAGACUGGAAGUUGGGCUGUCUUCUGGAACUCUCUGCCUAAGGAUGACGGGUGGGAAUUUAGUCCGUGCAUUUGAAGUCCUGCUUAGGAUUUCUCAGGAAAGGAGAUGACUCUGAAGCACAUCUGCCCGUCGUGGGACUGGAACCAAAGACAGCUGCCCUUGGUCUUCUGUUCCAGCACCAACAGCUCUGUCCCCUUGUGAUUUGGGAACAAGGGGAUGUACCGGUUGCAUUUGACGCUCCUUCAAUCAAAGAUACAAGGAGCAACUGAGGUGCUUUUAUGGAUGGCUGUUGGGGCAGGAGAGGAAUGAUUUAGGAGCAAUAAGAAAAGAAGACCCUUGGUCCAAAGUACAACUUCCCUCAACGUGCA